UGAGCAGGACAUCAUGGGCAAGAUGGAGCCAAAGAUGGAAGAGGACAAUGAGGUUCCCCAGGGGGCAUAAGAGGUGAACCUGGCCCUUGAAAGAAAGAUUUCUAAUCAAUGCAACCCGUUAACUGUCUUUACCUGCCUGACUUGAUGGUGAAUUUGUGUCGCACCAUUCCACAAACCGCUUUUCUCUCAACACCGGGGGCCCGGUAUUUUUUUAAGGCAACUGUUACACCAUGAAACGUGCAAUGAAAUUUGUAACAACAACUCUGACAAUUGAAUUACUUUGUCAGAGUUGGUAAACAUUUUUAAACCUUGUUUUGUCUAUCCACUAAAUUUAUUUGCACAAAUCAAUUCUGUUUGAAUCCGAUCUAUUAUUUUUUUAAUCUGUAUCAUAUGAAGCGAACCAACUGCUUUCAAUAAAUAAUUCCUGUUGAUGGAAUUGUUAAAUCGAGAAACAUUUUUACGGGUUAACGACAACUAGUUCAUAGCCAAACUGAGAGCGUCAGUAUUAAACCAUUCUUUUAACCAA